UUAACUCACAGUUAUAUGGAGUUGGAAUGUUUGCCUACGUUUGCCGCUAGGGGCGCUGUUCUAACUGCAUAGAGUUGACUUUUA
rnacentral:pre_miRNA from 1 species